rnacentral:rRNA from 1 species
AUUGAACGCUGGCGGCAUGCUUUACACAUGCAAGUCGAACGGUAACAGGCCUUCGGGUGCUGACGAGUGGCGAACGGGUGAGUAAUGCAUCGGAACGUACCCAGAGGUGGGGGAUAACGCAGCGAAAGCUGUGCUAAUACCGCAUGUGAUCUGAGGAUGAAAGCGGGGGACCGAGCAGCAAUGUUUGGCCUCGCGCCUUUGUAGCGGCCGAUGUCGGAUUAGCUAGUUGGUGGGGUAAAGGCCUACCAAGGCGACGAUCCGUAGCUGGUCUGAGAGGACGACCAGCCACACUGGGACUGAGACACGGCCCAGACUCCUACGGGAGGCAGCAGUGGGGAAUUUUGGACAAAGGGCGCAAGCCUGAUCCAGCAAUGCCGCGUGCGGGAAGAAGGCCUUCGGGUUGUAAACCGCUUUUGGCAGGAACGAAACGGUGUCCGCUAAUACCGGGCGCUAAUGACGGUACCUGCAGAAUAAGCACCGGCUAACUACGUG